rnacentral:misc_RNA from 1 species
UCACUGACAACCUUCGCACCUCAAUAUUUGACUGCCUAACUUGCUUACUCUAACAUACACUGUCUGUCGGCUGUGGCGCACAUACCUGUGAGUUCCUGUGACCGACUUGUAUGCUGUCCACUGAGUAUGUCACACCACGUCGACUGGUCAUCGCUUACAGUGCUGUUACUGUCGUGGUGUCUCACACAAGGACAACAAGAGAACUCAUUGAGACUCGUGGCCCCACCAGAUCUAGACCGGCAGUCGGCAGGACGCCUGGAAAUCUAUCAUAACGGCACUUGGGGAACAAUAUGUGAUGACACCUUUGAUAACAACGCUGCCACCGUAGUCUGUCGCCAGCUGGGGUAUACAGGUUCAUUGUUUACACCCCAUGGAGGAUCGUACUAUGGGCCUGGUGGAGGGGUUAUCUGGCUGGAUGACUUUAGCUGUACUGGAAGUGAGGCUAGGCUGACAGAUUGCCUUCUGAAACCCUGGGCUGUCACCGACUGUACCCACAACAACGACGCAGGAGUGGACUGUGAUCCAGACAUGGAGACGGACAUACCCGUCCAGAUUACAGGAGGUACUUCAGGUCUGAUGGGUCGUGUGGAGAUUCAACACCAGGGUCAGUGGGGUACUGUCUGUGACGACGAGUGGGAUGACAAGGAUGCUGCCGUCGUCUGCAGGCAAAUGGGGUUCUCCAAUGUUUAUGCUGUGCCACUGACUAAUUCCUACUUCACCAAUGGCUCGGGUGUUCCCAACCAGCCAGUGUGGUUAGACGACGUGCGAUGCACCGGGAGCGAGACCGGCCUUGGAGCCUGCGAUCACAAACCUUGGGGAUCCAACAAGUGCCACAACACGGAGAACGCAGGCGUCAUCUGUCUUCCAGUGCCAUCGAGUGGCACUGGGUUGAAGGUACGUCUAUCGGAUGGCCUGGACCAGUAUCAGGGCCGCGUGGAGCUGCAGCUAUUCGGGCUAUGGGGUACUGUCUGCGAUGACAGCUUUGACAAAAGAGAAGCUACUGUCGUCUGCAGAAUGUUGGGAUACAGUUCAGGACUCGUAUUGGGUGAUGACAUGUACGCAGCAGGAACCGGCCCAAUCUGGCUUGAUGAUAUGGUCUGUAACGGUACUGAAACGUCUGUGGACAACUGUACCCACCACCCCUGGGGCGUCAACGACUGUUCACAUAGGGAAGAUGUCGGUGUCAAGUGUCAACCCAAGCAGAAUGUGACUGUGCAGGUCCGUCUGGAGAACGGCAGCUCCCAGGUCGAGGGCCGCGUGGAGGUGUUCCACGGCGGUGUGUGGGGGACUGUGUGUGACAGUCUCUGGGACGCGGCAGACGCGGCAGUUGUCUGCAGGAUGCUCAACCUAUCGUUUGGCAAUGCCGUGUCCAUUUCCAACGCGGGUUUCGGCCAAGGUUCUGGAUCAGUCUUGUUGGGUAAUGUGGACUGCGUUGGCACCGAGGAAGAUCUUGGAUUGUGCAAGUUCCCAAGAUGGACAGUUAACCAGUGUCAACAUUCUCAUGAUGCGGGAGUCAUUUGUCAAGCAGCCACUGCCAACAUGACCGCAGUCCGUCUUGCUGGAGGCGCCACGCCAUCUGAGGGCCGAGUCGAAGUCUUCUACAACAACACCUGGGGCACGGUGUGCGACGACAACUUCGGCGGAAAAGAAGCUGCCGUUAUCUGUCGGUCGCUUGGAUACAAUGCAUCCGGCUCUGUGGCAGUGGCCCGAGCAGCGUACGGCCCUGGGUCAGGUCCAAUAUGGCUUGAUGAUCUGAUGUGUCAGGGAACUGAGACGAACCUCAACCAGUGCGGGCACAGGGGCUGGGGGCGGUCCAGCUGUCGACAUGAUGAGGAUGCGUCAGUCCUGUGUUCAGAUGGCUCCACAACUGGGGACUGUGUCGCAGUACGGUUGGUUGGUGGGGCUAUGAAUACAGAAGGUCGGGUGGAGGUCUACUACAAUGGUAGCUGGGGGACUGUUUGCGAUGAUUACUGGAGCAACAUGGACGCCCAAGUCGUUUGCCGAAUGCUCGGACUCCCUGCAGACGGGGCAAUGCCCCGGCUUCAGUCCUUCUUUGGUCAAGGACACCUUCCUACUAUACUUGACGAUGUUAAGUGUGACGGGUCCGAGCUGUCUCUGGGGGAGUGCACGCACGCCCCCUGGGGGCAGAGCAACUGUAACCAGCGGGAGGAUGCCGGAGUGGUCUGCCAGGCCGCAACAACCGUGACGGUCCGCCUUGUGAAUGGGACGUCGACGUCGAAUGGUCGUGUGGAGGUGUUCUACAACAACACGUGGGGCACGGUGUGUGACGACAGGUUCGGGAACAGAGAGGCACAAGUUGUCUGCCAUAUGUUAGGAUUAGAGCGGCUUGGCAGUAUGGCGAUUGGUAAUGCAUACUUUGGACAAGGCUCUGGUGCUGUACUGCUUGAUAACGUUAGAUGUAUUGGCACUGAGGACAAUGUCGCUGAAUGUACAAGCAACGGUUGGUACAACUCUCACUGCCAACAUCAAGACGACGUCGGUGUUCUCUGUAGUGAAGAUGUUCCCAAGUUGCGUCUUGCUGACGGCCCAACUAAGUUCCAAGGCCGUCUUGAGAUGAACGUGGAGGGAACAUGGGGGACCAUCUGUGGUGACCACUUCUCCAACAACGCCGCAGAUGUUGUAUGCCGUCAGAUGGGAUUACCAUUCGGCGCGGCUGUGACAGUUAUCGGUGCUCCCUACGGCCAGGGCACAGGCAAGAUAUGGCUGGACAGCAUCAACUGUCGGGGCAAUGAGACGUCAGUGUCAAGCUGCCAUCACAACGCUUUGGGAAAUAAUGUUUGUGAUCAUUCGGAAGAUGUAAGUGUCAUGUGUCGAUCUUCAGCAUCCACAGCGAAUGUGACAGCGCGACUGGCAGACGGUCGCAUCCCAACAGAAGGACGCCUUGAAGUGUUUGUGAAUGGGCAGUGGGGUUCAGCUUGUGAUGACGGGUUCGCACGACACGAUAAUGCUGCAGUUGCUUGUAGGAUGCUUGGCAUGUCAACAGAUCAUCCGGUUUCUUACUCCAACGCAUGGUAUGGGCAGGGGACUGGACCUGUUUGGAUGGAUGACGUGGCGUGUACGGGGUCAGAACUGUCACUGGCUAGUUGCCCUCAAAGACCGUACGGCACCGGAGAUUGCGGCCAUGAUGAGGAUGUCGGGAUUAGCUGUCCACCAGCUGGUUUGCUCAACGUAAGCGUGCGCCUGGUUGGUGGCUCUGACUCUCACACUGGCCGGGUAGAGAUCUUGAACCUGGGGACGUGGGGUACCGUCUGUGACGACGGCUGGGGAAUACCUGAAGCCAACGUCAUUUGUAAGCAGCUUGGAUUUUGGAAUACACUGAGCAUUCCAGUACCCAACGCUUACUACGGACGGGGCAAUGGAGACAUAUUGGUUGACGACAUGAACUGUAUCGGCAACGAGAGCAACAUCGGCUACUGUCGGCACCCCUUGUGGGGCAGCAACAAUUGUGACCACUCGGAAGAUGCCGGUGUCAUGUGCCUGCCAGGGGUGCAGCCCUCUCCGCCGAUACAGGUGCGUCUGGCCGGGGGUCUAAACAAAUACCAAGGCCGGCUGGAGAUCAUGUACCGGGGCGUGUGGGGCACUGUGUGUGAUGACCACUUCCAGGUCCCUGAAGCAACAGUGGUCUGUCGGAUGUUGGGGUUUGGAUCGUCCGGGACCCCAUUGUAUCAUCCAGGUGGAGGGAGUGGCCCUAUCUGGCUCGACGAUCUGGCUUGUUCUGGGACGGAGUCCUCCCUCGUCAACUGCAGCUCAGGGGGCUGGGGGGAACACGACUGUGACCAUAAGGAUGACGCUGGUGUUGACUGUACACAUCCUGCGACCCUGGACGUAGACGUGCGUAUAGCCGGGGGUACAGCUGGUGAGGGAAGGGUGGAGGUGCUGUACGGAGGCUCGUGGGGAACUAUUUGUGACGACCACUGGACUGAUACUGAGGCCCAGGUCAUUUGUAGACAGAAGGGGUUCUCCACUGACAACGCCACGGGUGUUGGAGGAGCGGCCUUCGGUCCGGGGCUCGGCAACGUGGUGCUAGGAAACGUCCAUUGUGUCGGAACUGAGGCUAAUCUCAACAUGUGCAACAUCGGCUCUGUUGGCAGCAGCGACUGUGACCACAGUCACGAUGUGGGGGUCAGAUGUCACCAAGGUCCUCUGUGCUGGCAGCGUGACGACUGUGUACAACGUCCGCCUGGUGAACGGCAGCACGGCUAACGAGGGACGGGUGGAAGUACAGAUCAACGGUGGCGAGUGGGGGACCGUGUGCGAUGAUCACUGGGACGUUCAUGACGCGACUGUCGUCUGUCGUAUGCUCAAUCUUUCAACAGAUGCAGUAUAUCCCCGCGGUGCUGGUUACUUUCCUGCUGGUACCGGCAGAAUCCUGCUGGACGACAUGGACUGCCGGGGAAACGAGACUAGUGUCUCACUGUGCGGUCACGCGGAAAUUGGGGCCAGCAA